AUCCACGCCAUACCACCCUGAACGCGCCCGAUCUCGUCUGAUCUCGGAAGCUAAAGAAGGAUUUAUAUGUUAUUGGUUGUUUGUGAAUA
rnacentral:rRNA from 1 species